rnacentral:rRNA from 1 species
AUUGAACGCUGGCGGCGUGCCUAACACAUGCAAGUCGAGCGGUAACAGGUGUAGCAAUACAUGCUGACGAGCGGCGAACGGGUGAGUAAUGCUUCGGAAUCUGCCCAUGUAGUGGGGAAUAACCAGCCGAAAGGUUGGCUAAUACCGCAUACGACCGUACGGGUGAAAGCAGGGGAUCGCAAGACCUUGCGCUAUUGGAUGAGCCGAAGUCGGAUUAGCAGUUGGUAGGGUAACGGCCUACCAAGGCGACGAUCCGUAGCUGGUCUGAGAGGACGACCAGCCACACUGGGACUGAGACACGGCCCAGACUCCUACGGGAGGCAGCAGUGGGGAAUAUUGGACAAUGGGGCAACCCUGAUCCAGCGACGCCGCGUGUGUGAAGAAGG